AAUAGAUACCCCGGUAGUCCACGCCGUAAACGAUGGAUACUAGCUGUUUGAGCGCAAGUUUGAGUGGCUAAGCGAAAGUGAUAAGUAUCCCACCUGGGGAGUACGGGCGCAAGCCUGAAACUCAAAGGAAUUGACGGGGGCCCGCACAAGCGGUGGAGCAUGUGGUUUAAUUCGAUGAUACGCGAGGAACCUUACCAGGGCUUAAAUGUAGAUUGACGUAUUUGGAAACAGAUAUUUCUUCGGACAAUUUACAAGGUGCUGCAUGGUUGUCGUCAGCUCGUGCCGUGAGGUGUCAGGUUAAGUCCUAUAACGAGCGCAACCCCCGUUGUUAGUUGCCAGCGAGUAAUGUCGGGAACUCUAGCAAGACUGCCAGUGUAAACUGUGAGGAAGGUGGGGAUGACGUCAAAUCAUCACGGCCCUUACGUCCUGGGCCACACACGUGCUACAAUGGCCGGUACAGAGAGCAGCCACUUAGCGAUAAGGAGCGAAUCUAUAAAGCCGGUCACAGUUCGGAUCGGAGUCUGC
rnacentral:rRNA from 1 species